CUCUGACCACUGGAGAGAAAGGAUUUGGCUAUAAGGGUUCCUCCUUUCACAGAAUUAUUCCAGGAUUCAUGUGCCAGGGUGGUAAGGUCACCUGCCAUAAUGGCACUGGUGGCAAGUCCAUCUACGGAGAGAAAUUUGAGAAUGAUAGCUUCAUCCUGAAGCAUACAGGUCCUGGGAUCUUGUCCAUGGCAAAUGCUGGACCAAACACAAAUGGUUCCCAGUUUUUUAUCUGCACUGCCAAGACUGAGCGGCUGGAUGGUAAGUGUGUGGUCUUUGGGAAGGGGAGAGGAGGCACGAACAUUGUGGAAGCCAUGGAGCAUUUUGGGUCCAGGAAUGGCAAGACCAGCAAGAAGAUCACCAUUUCCGACUGUGGACAACUCUUAGUUUCUUUGAUUUGCGGGCAUUUUACCCAUCAAACCAUUCCUUCUGUAGCUCAGGAGAGCGCCCCCACCCCAUCUGCUCGCAAUACCCUGUAAUCUCUGCUCUCACUGAAGUUCUUUGGGUUCCAUAUUAUCUUCAUUCCCCUUCAAGUCUAGGAGGAUUGCAAAGUUAAGUUUAUGAUUAUGAAUAAAAACUAAUAAGAAAAAAAAAGACACAA
rnacentral:lncRNA from 1 species